AUGAAUGGUGAUAAAAAGGUGCAGUGGAAAUCAUGGGAGAAGAUGUGUGCAGCAAAACGAGAUGGUGGUCUCGGCUUUCAAGACCCGGAAGCUUUCAACCAAGCUCUCCUAGAAAAGCAGGCAUGGAGGAUCUUGCAAUAUCCGCUCUCAGUAUGUGCACGGGUUCUCAAGGUGAGAUACUUCCCGAAUAACUCCAUCAUGUCGGCCACGUGCCCCUCGGGGGGCUCGUUCACUUUCAGGAGUAUAUUCCAUGGGCAUGACCUGCUGUGGGAGGGGUUGAUUUGGAGAGUCGGAGAUGGGUCCAAGAUUAAUGUUCAUCAUGACAAUUGGAUCUCAAGGAGUGGGAGUAUGCAACCGCCGGGAGCCGUAUAUGUACUGGGAGUGACAAGGGUGGCUGAUUUGCUGUCACCUAAUGGCGCCUCGUGGAGUUUUGAUCGUGUGGAUGAGAUGUUCUCUCUAGAUGAUGUGGCGGACAUAAAACAGAUAGCGGUUGGGGGACUGGGGGACAAAGGAUACCUUAGCAUGGAACUAUACUAA
rnacentral:rRNA from 1 species